AUACACCCGGUUACAUUUCGAACCCGGCAGUUAAGUCUGUUUACGCCUAAGAUACUUAGAGUUCAUCUAGGGAAAAUCGGUAAUCGCCAAAC
rnacentral:rRNA from 1 species